rnacentral:lncRNA from 1 species
AGAACACAAGCUUAAAUGUCUUCAAAGAGUGGCAGGGAGAGGACAGGGAUAUUAACUGUUGCAGUAAAUUCAAGGUGAAAGGAAUGAGACUACAGAUGCCAAAUGGUGUUUUCAUCAGAUGUCUCUAUCUGAUGUGAAGCUACAGUGCUGGAGAAUCAAACAUACCAUACAGGCUACAUACUGUUCCUGUUCGAAGUGUUGAUCUAUCUCCUGCAUCUUAGAAGAGGAAACAAGUCCUGAAGAAUCUGCAGUUUUCAGCUGCUUCUUCCUAUGUAAGGUUUGAGCUCUGCGUCCAUGGCAUUUGCAAAACACUACUGCAUCCAGCCUGCCAGGGCACAGCACCUUUCAGCUCUGAAACCUGAGCUCAGUUUUGGCAACUGACUUGUAAAGCUACAUUUCAGGAGCACAAUGAUAAAGUCAUUGGGCUGUGGACAGGUAUGUUUUUAACACCGUAGCUGCUGUGGGAUUAUUGCAGUUAUCUAUAUGGAC